rnacentral:lncRNA from 1 species
GGCAGACGCUGGAAUGAACACCAGAUGGGGAGGUCUGUGUGAAUUUUUGCCACUGUCUCCUUCCCAUCCUAGUUGUCCCAAAUGAGAGGCCCGUGGGUCUGCCAGAGGAGAGUUCUGUAUGGUACAAAGGCUUGGGGGGAAUCUGUUCCCUGUCUUUCUACAAAGAUGCUCGUCACAGCCCAUCCCUGCCAAAGGCUGUCCCUGGGACACAUAUGAUGGUUUCCAGUACUACCCUCGGGUUUGAUGAUUCCCUAGAGGGACUCUCAGGAUCUAGCAAGGCUGUUGUCUUCACAGAUAUGGUUUGUACAGCGAAAGGAUACAGAUUAAUAGGAGGAAUGAGUCAGCAUCCUGACUGGCGACCCCUAGUGGCCCACGCGUGCACUACAGCCACUUCCGCAAUCUUUGAAAUGCCUGAUGCCUGGGGAUGAAAGACGACCAGAACAACUAAUCGGAUGGUGCCAGCUACAGGGAACGAGAUGCCCUGGACCAAUGGGGCACGGGUGGAGCGUAUAAAAACACAUCCCGAUCCCGCAAUAAACGAGUCCACUUCCGCUUCUCACCUGA